UUUUUUUUUUUUUUUUUUUUUUUUUUUCCUUGCAGUUUACUUGGGAAGGGGUGGGGUGGCUGGAGCAGCCAGUCAGGGAACGGCCUGCUGUUUGCUUACAGAUCGGGUUUUUUUUUUCUCUCUUUACUCCAACCGGAUUGGUCUGCUCCACGAGAAAGAGGCGUUUUCCUAAUCUCCUCCCUUCUCCACGCCCUCUGCCCCCCUCCCGGCCCCACCUUCCAGAAACCUGACUAAUUGAAUUACUGGGAGUGCCGAGGCGCCUUCUCCUCCGCCCAAAUCCAGCAGUCGCGCGUAACCCUUUGGAUGCUGACUUCCUUCUGGGCUGAGGAGUGAUUUGACAUCUUUUCACCUGAGAGUAGGGUCUUUCCGUUACAAAGGAACUGUAGCCGGAGAAUCGAAAUCUGUCUCCUUGACCCCUCAAGUGACAGGAAGUCCCAGGAGCCGGCUGGCAGGGAACCAUAGUAAAUACGUGUUCUUGUAAAUAUCUGUCCUGUUCUUCAGCCUGGCACCGAGUUAUCGGGAAACCUGAGCAUUUCUCAUGUGCCUUUCAACUCCCAUCUUGCUACCAGGGAUUUAAAGGUUCAUGAGCAGCGAGCAAGAUUUUUCUUUAAAUUCUUAUUUUUUAUUUUUUAAUCGAGAAAAUCACAGUAUAAAAUUACAAUUCAUUGCGAACCUUUGGCAGGAAGGAAGUGAACACAGCGGCGACCAACUGAAUUACCUUACACCUUUACUAUUUCAACUCCGAGGUUGACUCGCUGCUCUCUCCAAAAGAAAAAUGCUUUGAAAGAAUCCGGUGCGGGAGAAAUGGAGGUCAGGGAAGGAGUUCUUUUAUUAUUGGAAAAAGGCCUUGCCUUCCUGGGUUUCUAGAAAAUGUUGCAGCACCUCGGCCGGGCCGCCAACAUCGCGCGAUCGCCUGACAGCCGAGACGGUCCCCGCGCUUUGGGACACGUCCUGGUGUCCUCCAGCGACCAGUAAACUAGCCCUACGCCCGGGCGCUGCGCGGUUGCAAACCCUCGAGACUCGCCCUCGUGGGAUUCCGCGGGCUCGGUCCUGCGUGGUAUUAUUUUCUUUUUGCUCUCUAGGGAAUCUGCUGCCUCACAGAGAAGGACUGAUCCGAAGUAAGAAAGUAGCUUAGUUUUGCUCCCAAACCUGCUUGUUCUCCCCUUUACUUAUUAGCCCAAUAAAAUCAAAUACCACGUUCUUCCUCCUGCGCUUUCGAGUCGCUUUCCAGGCGCUUCAGAGCUGUUUGGAAGCGUGCAGACGCCCUCCAGUGGUGGGCUUGCAGUGCGCACCUAACGGGGGCUAUUGCCUGUAGCUUGACCGGGAUGAAGUUCUAUGGAGAAAGAACAAUACAGACUCUAGAGGAAAGGAACAGUCGACAUGGGCAUGGAAUUACCUGGAUGUUAUGCGCUCCUGUCUAAAAGCUGAGUAGUUUCUCAAUUAUAGAAAUUUUUCCUAUCUGAAGAGAUCUUGCAAUUGUCCUAGAAAAGUUAACUCUUCUGUUGGUGACUGGAUGUAAAUUGCAACCUGCAUAAUUAUAGAUUGUGCUACAGGCCACCCUAACAAACCAAAAAUAUUCCUAAAUUAAGAAAAAAAAACUCAAAAUAUUAACACAAAUUCUUCUCUACUAUUUCUACAUUUCCCGAAAUUCUAGCAGCAAGAAAGAAGCCAGAAGGCUUAACCUAGAGAAAUGAAGGAUAAGCUUUAAUUUUUAAAUCAAAUUUUCAUUUAAAACGUUGUUUCCUCCCCUUCUUCCCCUCCUAAUCUUGCUGACGUUCAAGUUCCUGGCCUAUUUUAGGAUGCAUUUGUUUUUUCUGUUGUAGGGAGGUUGCAUUUCUUCCCUCAGCCUUCUGAUAAUAGCUUUAAUAGGUGCUCCUAUGACUGAGACAGUUUUGCAGGAAAUAUUCUGGACCCUUUUAAGGGACAUAUGUAUCUUUAGGAAGAUGAGAAUUCACAACUCCUAUCUAGGGGGAAAUGCUGAUCCUCCUCAUCUGAGAGUCUUUUUAGUCAGGGAAAUAUCAGGUAUCAGGGAGUUAGCAAGCUGGCUUCCUGUGGCAUCAAAGCUGAAAGGAGUAAAGAAAAAGAAAUCAUAUCCGCUUAUUUCCUAUUUGAAACACAUACUGUAAGCAAAUGUGAAAAAUCAACAUAUCAAAAGAAUAUGGAUGUCAAUAUUUUAAAUGUUUCUAAUUUUUAGUCUGGAUAGUCCCAUUUGAAGCAGAAAAAAAAAAUCAUAUGUUAUAGUUUUCCUAUAAUGAUUCAAGGAGCUAGAAUAAAAGGCAUUGGAAUUUGCAACUGUUCAGAACAUAAUUCAAACGUCUAUGAGAAAUAAUUCAUAAACUUGAAUCAAAUGCCUCCAUCUAGAAUUAUAUAUCUAAGUAAUUAUUGAUAUUGGAGUAACUAAGUGACAAUAUGAUAGAUACACUUAGAUAAAGUUUGAAGAGAGCUAUUAUUAACUGUAUACUUAUCACUAGAUAAUGUGACUUUGUCUCUUCAGGAAAAUAUACAAGUGAUGUGAAUUUAUACAAAUCAGCAUUAUAUAAAAUUAUUAUGAUCAGCCCAGUGUCAGAAGCAAUGAUACUGGCCUUUAAAGGACAAGUGCAAUUUUGCCAAGUAUAGAAAGAGAUUCAGGUGUGUCAGAAAGAAAAUAGCAAGAAGCUCAAACAUGGAGGAAUAACAGUUCAGGGAGUGUUCAAAGGCUUUGAGUUCAACAAGAUUGAAACAAGGUUGUAGGGAGCUGAGACCUGAAAAAUUGGUUAGUAAAAUGGCUGUUUUCUAAAUAUAUUUGGAUUUAAAGCUACAGGUAAGAGAGAUCACUUGUGGUUUUAAAACAAAUCACACUGAAGCAAUGCCUCAAAUUAGAACACAAAUGGGGAAUGAUCGAUUGGUUAAUUUUUGGGCUUGACCUAUCUAGGUGGGUGUUCUAACGUAGGCUGUGAAUCACCUAAGGAGCUUUUUUUAAAAAAAUAAAAACAAAAACAAAACCAAAAAGAACCAUGCCUGGCCACCACUCCUUGUUUUAGUUAGUUAAGGGUGGGGACCUGGGAUCUGUAAUUUUUAAAAGCUCCCCAGGGAAUUUUAAUCAGCAGAGAGGAUUGCAAAUCACUGAUGUAGGUAAUUUAUUUUUACAUUAACUACUUCAAUAUUUUAGGCAAAAAAGUAAGCUCCAUACUAAUUUCUCUAGGGAAAUGUCCCAACUAACCAUCAAGGCAGGAAUGUUGAUACAUCUAAAAACUAAAUUAAUGAUCCUCUCUACGAAAAUGAAGUGAUACUUUAAAAAUGAUUUCUACUUGACACAAAAUAGAAUGCCAUCUCUAAGAUGUGAUUGCAGGGCAAAGCUUACUUUUUUAUUUUUUCAAAGAUGACUUUUAAAUAUGGAUUCAUCUUCACUUUUAGAGUAGUUUGGACUUCCUUUUUGUAUUAGCUGCCACCAGAUAGAAGUGGAGAUCUACUGAGUCAAGUGUCCAAACAAAUAAAUGAAACAAGAUAGUGAAUCAGACCCCACAGUCCACAGAGGAGUAACUCUUGUUUAAUAUAGCAGUUAAAUUAGAACUGAUAC
rnacentral:lncRNA from 1 species